UGUUCCUGUCUAAAAAGAUCUCGUGUUUGAAGAUAUAUGAAGAUUUGAUGUCUUGAAUAGAGAAACAUAACUUAAGCAGAAGAAACUGUAUACCUUAAGGAGCAAAGAACUUACACUGGAGAGCAUCUUAAUUGUGGGAGACUCAGAGAGAACAAUUUUUUCAUAAUUUGUGAAGAAUAUUCAUGUUCUAUUUUUGUGUAUGACUCAAGGGAUUUUGUGGCCUUCAGGACAUGACAGUACUAGAUGCCAUGAACUAUGCAACCUGAUAAUAAAAAGAAGACUGAGAAAUUAACAGGUUGAAUAAAAUGUAAGGCACAGUCUCACGAGAAUGAAGGUUGUGGCUGAUUCAUUCCUGCACAGAAAUGAGUGAGGAACAUAAGAAAAAAGAUCAAAAACUUGUGGGUCGACCUGGAAGAAAGAGCAGUUGGGCUGUGAGUUCCAGUGAACAGGGGAUCUCUACCAGCAGCUGAAUAUUCAUACUAUUCCAUUUUGCCUUUAAUGGGUGUUAAGAAGAAUUUCUAGUGUCCGGAGGCACUAAGGUAAGUAUGAAAGGUCCUCCUAUUCUACCUUAAUCUUUUGAUCCCAAACCAAGUAGAAAUGCAAGUUGCCUAUAUUUCAAAUGAAAUAUUUUCUGGCUUGCCCACCAUUUCAAGCCCUCAUGAUUGCAUGGUGAAUGGUCAGAGUAUGAAAGAUCCUGGCCUCACUUGAUCCUCUCUGCUGAUUUACAGGCUCUACAUUUAGUUCCUGUUAGAGGAGUUAAACGUGGGGAAGCUACUGGAUAGUACUGUUCUAUGUGCAUUUCAAAAUAAUUGGAUACCCCACCAAUUUUUAAAACAGUAUCAUGGUGUGGCUUUACAAUUGAGAUACUUCCUCAGACUCUCAAAAAUAAAUGCAAAAUAAACAAAAUAAAACAACUAAAGAUAAUUUAUUACUUCAAUUUCUUGUUGGACACCAACUAUUAUAACAUGAUCUUAGAUACUGGGAAACUUUGUGUAGUUUGAUUUACCUUUAGUCCACAUAUACUGGAUAUAAAGGCUGAGUAAUUGUAAAGCAAUAUGUUGAGUGUGCAGAGUGUUUUCCUGUGCUGAUAAUCUAGGUAUGUGCUAUGGGAAUUCACUCAAAAAAAAAUGCUACAAAUGAACAAUAUAAAAAUGACUAUGUUUUCAUAUAAAUUGCAAUUACAACUAUGUAAUAAAGCUAUUUCAAGUAUUAUUUCCUUUUGUAAAAAUGAAUUCCCAAUUAGACACCAAGCAUGGUGGUUUGUUAAUGAAAUCUUUGCUAAAAGGUACAUGCAGUUCUCAGGGCUUGAGUAGAGAAGAGAAGGUAUCAGGCUGUCCAGAGCUGCUGGCCCCUUUGCACCUGUUGGCAAUUUCAGCAGGGACACCAAUUACAAAAUAAACCUCUCACCCCUAGAUGUCUCCCAAGGUCAGACUUAAGAAAUGAUAGCAAAAAGUUUUAAUCUGACAUUAACCAUUCUUACUUAUUUUAUAGAAGAACAUUAUCAUCAACUACUAUUAGAUGUUUGAGAUAAACUAUUUAUUUAUUUAUUUAUUUGCUUGGUUAUUUAUUUAUUUAUUGUCCAAAGACAUUGUGAGGCUAAUCUGUAGUCUCUGCUUUUCAGAAAACAUUACAUUUUAAACUUGGGAUCCUUUCCUUUUCUAUGUAGUAUAAUUAGUUGUGCUUUAUCUGUUGAGGCUUUGUUUCCAGUGAAUUGUUAAGAUUCCUGAUUUCAAGUCUAAACAAGAAGCAUCUUUCAAUUUCAUUUUCUGCAAGAGGGACAUGUAGUCUGAUAGUAUAUUAAUAUAAAACAAAAAAUGCCACUGAGAACAGUAAAAAUCAUAGUUUCUUGGUAUGUAUGAAGAAUGUUAAGAAUCAACAUUAAAUCAGAAAUUAGAAAAGUGAGAAAAAGUGCUUAAUUCUGGAAAAGGCUCAGAUGCAUUCAUCAGUGUAAGAACCUGAAGACAGUAGAAAAACUGAUAUUCUGAUGUUUUUCCAAACAGCAGGUGGGAGAGGGAGGCACAACUUGUAUUUGUUUCUAGAAAGAUUGAUUGUUUGAUGGCAAGUUGCAGAAGAGUAAAGCUUAAGAAAAGUGUUAGAAGGUAAAAAAAAAUAAAAAUAAAAAAGCAAUA